rnacentral:rRNA from 1 species
AGCGAACGCUGGCGGCAGGCUUAACACAUGCAAGUCGAACGGGCAUCUUCGGAUGUCAGUGGCAGACGGGUGCGUAACACGUGGGAACGUACCCUUCGGUUCGGAAUAACUCAGGGAAACUUGAGCUAAUACCGGAUACGCCCUUUUGGGGAAAGGUUUACUGCCGAAGGAUCGGCCCGCGUCUGAUUAGCUUGUUGGUGGGGUAACGGCCUACCAAGGCGACGAUCAGUAGCUGGUCUGAGAGGAUGAUCAGCCACACUGGGACUGAGACACGGCCCAGACUCCUACGGGAGGCAGCAGUGGGGAAUAUUGGACAAUGGGCGCAAGCCUGAUCCAGCCAUGCCGCGUGAGUGAUGAAGGCCUUAGGGUUGUAAAGCUCUUUUGUCCGGGACGAUAAUGACGGUACCGGAAGAAUAAGCCCCGGCUAACUUCGUG